rnacentral:rRNA from 1 species
AUUGAACGCUGGCGGCAGGCCUAAAACAUGCAAGUCGAACGAGUGGCGGACGGGUGAGUAAUGUCUGGGAAACUGCCUGAUGGCGGGGGAUAACUACUGGAAACGGUAGCUAAUACCGCAUACCAUCAGCUGUGCCCAGAUGGGAUUAGCUAGUGGGUGGGGUAACGGCUCACCCAGGCGACGAUCCCUAGCUGGUCUGAGAGGAUGACCAGCCACACUGGAACGGAGACACGGUCCAGACUCCUAAGUGAGGCAGAAGUGGGGAAUAUUGCACAAUGGGCGCAAGCCUGAUGCAGCCAUGCCGCGGUUAUGAAGAAGGCCUUCGGGUGGUAAAGUACUUUCAGCGGGGAGGCGGUACCAGCAGAAGAAGCACCGGCUAACUCCGUGCCAGCAGCCGCGGUAAUAC